AGAUCAUUUUGGGGACAAUUUCUUAUUAACCCUUUGUAUCGCUCCCAAGCCUCAUACAACGACUCCCCCACUUGUUGCUCGAAAUUUGCUAUGGCCUUUAUGAGUUU